rnacentral:rRNA from 1 species
CCUACGGGUGGCAGCAGUGAGGAAUAUUGGUCAAUGGCCGGAAGGCUGAACCAGCCAUGCCGCGUGAAGGUCAGUGCCCUAUGGGCGUUAAACUUCUUUUGUGCGGGAGCAAUAAUGGUCACGUGUGGCCAGACGAGAGUACCGUACGAAUAAGCAUCGGCUAACUCCGUGCCAGCAGCCGCGGUAAUACGGGGGAUGCAAGCGUUAUCCGGAUUUAUUGGGUUUAAAGGGUGCGUAGGCUGUGAGGUAAGUCAGCGGUGAAAUGCCCCCGCUCAACGGGGUGAAGUGCCAUUGAUACUGCCUGGCUGGAAUGCGGAUGCCGUGGGAGGAAUGUGUGGUGUAGCGGUGAAAUGCAUAGAUAUCACGCAGAACCCCGAUUGCGAAGGCAGCAUACCGGUGCACAACUGACGCUCAGGCACGAAAGCGUGGGUAUCGAACAGGAUUAGAUACCCUUGUAGUC